rnacentral:rRNA from 1 species
UUUUAAGUCAAAUCUGCCCAAUGAUUUUUUAAUGGCUACAGUAUUUAUAACUGUACAAAGGUAGCAUAAUAAAUUGUUUUUUAAUUAAAAACUUGAAUGAAAGAUUUAAUGAAAUAUAAACUUUUUCAAAUAAAUACAUUAAAAUUAUUAUUUAAGUAAAAAAACUUAAAUUAUUUUAAAAGACGAUAAGACCCUAUAGAAUUUUAAUUUAAAUUAAAUUAAAUUAAUUAAAUUAAAUAAAAUUAAUUUAAUUUAUAUUUUUAUUGGGGUAAUUUUAAAAUUUAAAAAAUUUUUUUUAAAAAAAACAUUAAUUAAUGAUAAAAUUUAUCUUAAAAUUUAAAUUAUUAAAAUUAAUUACCUUAGGGAUAACAGCAUAA